AACACUGAUAUAUAAAGUGAACACUGAGAUAUAUAAAGUGAACACAGAUAUAAAAAGUGAACACUGAGAUAU